rnacentral:rRNA from 1 species
AUACGAAGGGUCCAAGCGUUGUUCGGAUUUAUUGGGCGUAAAGCGCGCGCAGGCGGAUCGGAAAGUCAGAUGUGAAAUCUCGGGGCUCAACCCCGAAACUGCGUCUGAAACUUCCAGUCUAGAAUAUCGGAGGGGGUAGGGGAAUUUCACGUGUAGGGGUAAAAUCCGUAGAGAUGUGAAGGAACACCGGAGGCGAAGGCGCCUACCUGGACGAUUAUUGACGCUGAGGCGCGAAAGCGUGGGGAGCAAACAGGAUUAGAUACCCUGGUAGUCCACGCCGUAAACGAUGAGAACUAGUUAUUGGGGGUAUUGACUCCCUCAGUGACGCAGCUAACGCAUUAAGUUCUCCGCCUGGGGAGUACGGCCGCAAGGCUAAA